GGAGUUUGGACCGUGUCUCAGUUCCAAUGUGGGGGGACCUUCCUCUCAGAACCCCUACUGAUCGAAGGCUCGGUGGGCCGUUACCCCGCCGACUACCUAAUCAGACGCAUCCCCAUCCUAUAGCGGUAAACCUUUGGUAUUCUUCAGAUGUCCUCUAAAUACAACAUAGAGUAUUAAUCCGACUUUCGCCGGGCUAUCCUCUACUAUAGGGAAGGUUGGAUACGCGUUACUCACCCGUGCGCCGGUCGCCAUCGGCCUUAGCAAGCUAAGACCAUGCUGC
rnacentral:rRNA from 1 species